rnacentral:rRNA from 1 species
GGACUACUGGGGUAUCUAAUCCUGUUUGCUACCCACGCUCUCGCGCCUCAGUGUCAGUAUCUGUCCAGGUAGCCGCCUUCGCCACUGGUGUUCCUUCCGAUCUCUACGCAUUUCACCGCUACACCGGAAAUUCCACUACCCUCUACAGUACUCCAGCUAUGCAGUCAUCGAUGCAGUUCCUAGGUUAAGCCCAGGGAUUUCACAUCCAUCUUACAUAACCACCUACGCGCCCUUUACGCCCAGUAAUUCCGAUUAACGCUCGCACCCUCUGUAUUACCGCGGCUGCUGGCAC